rnacentral:snoRNA from 1 species
AAAGCAGGCUGCAAUUGCAGUGCCUCAUGCUGUGGGAGCACUGCCAUUCCCCUGCUGAGAGCAACUCUGUUAACACUGUCUGUGGUUUCACCCGUGCGGUGGUGAAAACCUUGGUUCUUAACAUGGACAUGA